UCUGCACAAGGACUACAUUACGGUAGCAUGUCACAUACAUGUUACAUUUCACUUGUGCAGAGAAUAAAUUCAGCUUGUCGCCUUUGCCAAGAAACUUUAUCUUGUCGAAGUGAAUCAAGGAUGUAACAUAU